UACAGAGGGUGCAAGCGUUUGUUCGGAAUUAUUGGGCGUAAAGCGCGUGUAGGCGGCAGUGCAAGUCGGGUGUGAAAGCCCUCAGCUCAACUGAGGAAGUGCGCCCGAAACUGCAUUGCUUGAGUACCGGAGAGGAUGGCGGAAUUCCCGAAGUAGAGGUGAAAUUCGUAGAUAUCGGGAGGAACACCGGUGGCGAAGGCGGCCAUCUGGACGGAUACUGACGCUGAGACGCGAAAGCGUGGGUAGCAAACAGG
rnacentral:rRNA from 1 species